rnacentral:rRNA from 1 species
CAAUAGCGUAUAUUAAAGCUGUUGCAGUUAAAAGUUCGUAGUUGGAUCUCGGAUUUGGGCUAGCGGUCCGAUGUCUUCGGUUUACUGCUAGUCUCGAUCUACCCGCCGGUCUUCCCCUGGUGCUCUUAACUGAGUGCCUCGGGUUACCGGAACGUUUACUUUGAAAAAUUAGAGUGUUCAAAGCAGGCGCCCCGCCUGAAUAAUGGUGCAUGGAAUAAUGGAAUAGGACCUCGGUUCUAUUUUGUUGGUUUUCGGAACUCGAGGUAAUGAUUAAGAGGGACGGACGGGGGCAUUCGUAUUACGGUGUUAGAGGUGAAAUUCUAGGAUCGCCGUAAGACGGACGGCUGCGAAAGCGUUUGCCAAGCACGUUUUCUUUAAUCAAGAGCGAAAGUCAGAGGUUCGAAGAUGAUCAGAUACCGU